UACGUAGGGGGCUAGCGUUGUCCGGAUUUAUUGGGCGUAAAGAGCGUGUAGGCGGCCAGGUAGGUCUGCUGUGAAACUCGAGGCUCAACCUCGAGAUGUCGGCGGAAACCGUCUGGCUAGAGUCCGGAAGAGGAGAGUGGAAUUCCUGGUGUAGCGGUGAAAUGCGUAGAGAUCCGGAGGAACCCAGAGGCGAAGGCGGCCCCUGGCUCGUACCUGACGCUCAGCCACGAAAGCAUGGGGAGCGAACGGG
rnacentral:rRNA from 1 species